UACGGGGGGAGCAAGCGUUGUUCGGAUUCAUUGGGCGUAAAGGGUGCGUAGGCGGCGCGGUAAGUCGGGUGUGAAAUCUCGGAGCUUAACUCCGAAACUGCAUUCGAUACUGCCGUGCUUGAGGACUGGAGAGGAGACUGGAAUUUACGGUGUAGCGGUGAAAUGCGUAGAUAUCAGGAGGAACACCGGUGGCGAAGGCGGGUCUCUGGGCCGAUACUGACGCUGAGGAGCGAAAGCGUGGGGAGCGAACAGG
rnacentral:rRNA from 1 species